rnacentral:rRNA from 1 species
GCUUAACACAUGCAAGUCGAACGAAGCAUUUAAGACAGAUUACUUCGGUUUGAAGCCUUUUAUGACUGAGUGGCGGACGGGUGAGUAACGCGUGGGUAACCUGCCUCAUACAGGGGGAUAGCAGCUGGAAACGGCUGGUAAUACCGCAUAAGCGCACAGUACCACAUGGUACAGUGUGAAAACCUCCGGUGGUAUGAGAUGGACCCGCGUCUGAUUAGCUUGUUGGCGGGGUAACGGCCCACCAAGGCGACGAUCAGUAGCCGACCUGAGAGGGUGACCGGCCACAUUGGGACUGAGACACGGCCCAGACUCCUACGGGAGGCAGCAGUGGGGAAUAUUGCACAAUGGAGGAAACUCUGAUGCAGCGACGCCGCGUGAGUGAAGAAGUAGUUCGCUAUGUAAAGCUCUAUCAGCAGGGAAGACAGUGACGGUACCUGACUAAGAAGCUCCGGCUAAAUACGUGCCAGCAGCCGCAGUAAUACGUAUGGAGCAAGCGUUAUCCGGAUUUACUGGGUGUAAAGGGAGUGUAGGUGGCCAGGCAAGUCAGAAGUGAAAGCCCGGGGCUCAACCCUGGGACUGCUUUUGAAACUGCAGGGCUAGAGUGCAGGAGGGGCAAGUGGAAUUCCUAGUGUAGCGGUGAAAUGCGUAGAUAUUAGGAGGAACACCAGUGGCGAAGGCGGCUUGCUGGACUGUAACUGACACUGAGGCUCGAAAGCGUGGGGAGCAAACAGGAUUAGAUACCCUGGUAGUCCACGCCGUAAACGAU